GGGCGUGUAGCGCAGAGGUAGAGCAUCCGCUUUGCGUGCAGAUAAGCAUCAAAUUGCGGAAGGUCUUGGGUUCGAGCCCCAACUCGUCCA